rnacentral:rRNA from 1 species
AGACAAGUUAAUAAGGGCGCACGGUGGAUGCCUAGGCGUUCCGGGCCGAUGACGGGCGUGGCAAGACGACGAAACGCCCCGGUGAGCUGUCUAGCGAGCUUAGCCGGGGAUACCCGAAUGGGGGAACCCGUUCCGAGUAAUGUCGGAACACCCCGAUGUGAGUCGGGGAGGGAACUGGGGGAACUGAAACAUCUAAGUACCCCAAGGAGAAGAAAUUCAAAAGAUUCCCUGAGUAGUGGCGAACGAAACGGGAAGAGCCUAAACCAUUGAGACUAAGUGGGCUGGGGCCCUAUGUCUGAAUGGGGUAAUAGGUAGAUUGCGGACCCGACCCCGGUUGGGUCAAGGUGAAAGUGAAGCCUAGCGGAAGGACCCUGGAAGGGGCCACCAUAGAGGGUGAUAGUCCCGUAUGCGAAAGGUGUAAGCAGCCUGCAGUCUAACCUGAGUACCACCGGACACGAGAAAUCUGGUGGGAAGUAGGGGUGACCACACUCCAAGGCUAAAUACCCGGGACGACCGAUAGUGAACAAGUACCGUGAGGGAAAGGUGAAAAGCACCCCGGGAGGGGAAUGAAAUAGAACCUGAAACCGUGUGCCUACAAGCAGUCAGAGGUUCGACUUCGGUCGUGACUAAUGGCGUGCCUAUUGAAGAAUGAUCCGGCGAGUAACUCUCAGUAGCCAGGUUAACUCCCUUACGGGAGGGAGCCGAAGCGAAAGCGAGUCUGAAUAGGGCGAUAAGUUGCUGGGAGUUGACCCGAAACCAGGGUGAGCUACCCAUGGGCAGGGUGAAGCCCCGAUAAGCUCGGGGUGGAGGCCCGAACCCUUUAACGUGGCAAAGUUAUGGGAUGACCUGUGGGUAGAGGUGAAAUGCCAAGCGAACCCAGAGAUAGCUGGUUCUCCCCGAAAUGCAUUGAGGUGCAGCCUCAGGCGAUGUGGGAGGGAGGUAGGGCUCUGGAUGGGCUAGGGGGCUAACCGCUUACCAAACCCAACUAACCUACAAAUGCCAUCGUUUGAGAGCCGGGGAGUGAGACUGCGGGGGAUAAGCUUCGUAGUCGAAAGGGAAACAGCCCAGACCCUCAGCUAAGGCCCCCAAGUGCAGACUAAGUGUGCAACGAGGUAGCGCCGCCCAGACAACCAGGAGGUUGGCUUAGAAGCAGCCAUCCUUCAAAGAGUGCGUAAUAGCUCACUGGUCGAGUGGUGUUGCACCGACAAUAAACGGGGCUCAAGCCCGUCGCCGAAGCUAGGGACUUCCGUUGUAGAGACGGGAGUGGUAGGGGAGCGUUCCCCCAGCGAUAAAGCCGUUAUGCGAGUAACGGUGGAGCAAGGGGAAGUGAGUAUGCCGGCAUGAGUAGCGCAAGGUGUGUGGGAAACACACCCACCGAAUACCUAAGGUUUCCUACGGAAGGUU